rnacentral:rRNA from 1 species
CCUACGGGAGGCAGCAGUAGGGAAUCUUUCACAAUGGGCGAAAGCCUGAUGGAGCAACGCCGCGUGCAGGAUGAAGGCCUUCGGGUUGUAAACUGCUUUUAUAAGCGAGAAAUAUGAUGGUAACUUAUGAAUAAGGAUCGGCUAACUACGUUCCAGCAGCCGCGGUCAUACGUAGGAUCCGAGCAUUAUCCGGAGUGACUGGGUGUAAAGAGUUGCGUAGGUGGCAUAAUAAGUAGCUAGUGAAAUCUGGUGGCUCAACCAUUCAGACUAUUAGCUAAACUGUUAAGCUCGAGACCGUUAGGGGUAACUGGAAUUUCUAGUGUAGGAGUGAAAUCCGUAGAUAUUAGAAGGAACACCAAUAGCGUAGGCAGGUUGCUGGGACGGUUCUGACACUAAGGCACGAAAGCGUAGGGAGCAAACGGGAUUAGAUACCCGAGUAGUC